GACGAACGCUGGCGGCGUGCUUAACACAUGCAAGUCGAACGGAAAGGCCCUGCUUUUUUGGGGUGCUCGAGUGGCGAACGGGUGGGGAACGCGUGAGUAACCUGCCCUGGACUUUGGGAUAACUUAAGGAAACUGGGGCGAAUACCGUAUAGGAGCUCCUGCUGCAGUGGGGGGGUGGGAAAGGUUCGGCGGUUGGGGAUGGACUCGCGGCUUACCAGCUUGUUGGUGGGGUAGUGGCUUACCAAGGCUUUGACGGGUGGCCGGCCUGAGAGGGUGACCGGCCACAUUGGGACUGAGAUAGGGCGCAGACUCCUACGGGAGGGAGCAGUGGGGAAUAUUGCACAAUGGGCGGAAGCCUGAUGCAGCAACGCCGCGUGCGGGAUGACGGCCUUCGGGUUGUAAACCGCUUUCGCCUGGGACGAAGCGUGAGUGACGGUAAUUGGUAAAGAAGCACCGGCUAACUACGUG
rnacentral:rRNA from 1 species